UACAGAGGUCCCAAGCGUUGUUCGGAUUCACUGGGCGUAAAGGGCGCGUAGGCGGUCGGGUAAGUCUGAUGUGAAAUCUCACAGCUUAACUGUGAAACUGCAUUGGAUACUAUCCGGCUCGAGGAAUGGAGGGGAGACUGGAAUACAUGGUGUAGCAGUGAAAUGCGUAGAUAUCAAGUGGAACACCAGUGGCGAAGGCGAGUCUCUGGACAUUUCCUGACGCUGAGGCACGAAAGCCAGGGGAGCAAACGGG
rnacentral:rRNA from 1 species